GGGGUCUUGGCACAGUGGUAGCGCGCACGCUUCGCAUCCUCUGCGCUUGCGUGAGGUCGAGAGUUCAAUCCUCUCAGUCUCCA